CAACGUGCCCGGGGUCGGUGAAAACCCGAACCGGCGGUGACAGCCCGCGAACCAGCCCAGAGCUGGCCGAACCGGUGGGAUUCCGGUGCCGACGGUGACAGUCCGGAUGGGAGAGCAUGUGC
rnacentral:ncRNA from 2 species